rnacentral:rRNA from 1 species
UGAACGCUGGCGGCGUGCCUAAUACAUGCACGUCGAGCGAACAGAUGAGGAGCUUGCUCCUCUGACGUUAGCGGCGGACGGGUGAGUAACACGUGGAUAACCUACCUAUAAGACUGGGAUAACUUCGGGAAACCGGAGCUAAUACCGGAUAAUAUAUUGAACCGCAUGGUUCAAUAGUGAAAGACGGCUUUGCUGUCACUUAUAGAUGGAUCCGCGCCGCAUUAGCUAGUUGGUAAGGUAACGGCUUACCAAGGCAACGAUGCGUAGCCGACCUGAGAGGGUGAUCGGCCACACUGGAACUGAGACACGGUCCAGACUCCUACGGGAGGCAGCAGUAGGGAAUCUUCCGCAAUGGGCGAAAGCCUGACGGAGCAACGCCGCGUGAGUGAUGAAGGUCUUCGGAUCGUAAAACUCUGUUAUUAGGGAAGAACAAAUGUGUAAGUAACUAUGCACGUCUUGACGGUACCUAAUCAGAAAGCCACGGCUAACUACGU